UGGGGAAUUUUGGACAAUGGGCGAAAGCCUGAUCCAGCAAUGCCGCGUGUGUGAAGAAGGCCUUCGGGUUGUAAAGCACUUUUGUCCGGAAAGAAAUCCUCUGGGUUAAUACCUCGGGGGGAUGACGGUACCGGAAGAAUAAGCACCGGCUAACUACGUGCCAGCAGCCGCGGUAAUACGUAGGGUGCAAGCGUUAAUCGGAAUUACUGGGCGUAAAGCGUGCGCAGGCGGUUUUGUAAGACGGAUGUGAAAUCCCCGGGCUUAACCUGGGAACUGCAUUCGUGACUGCAAGGCUAGAGUAUGGCAGAGGGGGGUAGAAUUCCACGUGUAGCAGUGAAAUGCGUAGAGAUGUGGAGGAAUACCGAUGGCGAAGGCAGCCCCCUGGGCCAAUACUGACGCUCAUGCACGAAAGCGUGGGGAGCAAACAGGAUUAGAUACCCUGGUAGUCCACGCCCUAAACGAUGUCAACUAGUUGUUGGGGGAUUCAUUUCCUUAGUAACGUAGCUAACGCGUGAAGUUGACCGCCUGGGGAGUACGGUCGCAAGAUUAAAACUCAAAUGAAUUGACGGGGUCAUAGCUGUUUCCU
rnacentral:rRNA from 1 species